ensembl:lncRNA
CACAUGUUCAAAAAAGAACGAAACGCUUUGUGUCGUUUGGAGACGCCGCGAAAUUGCGACUGGUGCACAUUAUCUGCAUCCAAAGAUUGAGAGAGUAUUUUUCUGGGUGUUAAUUAAGUUUUGAUGUAAUUUAUGUUCGUUAAUGACAACUAAGUUCCAGAAGGAAAGGGUGGAAUUAUAUGCUCGUGAGUUUUAACACAAGCUAUAGGAGGCUGCAACUCUUCCAACGGAAAAGAUACGAGUGCUAAUCCUGAACCAAACAUUUCUGGUAAGAUGUUGUUCUGAGAACAAACUCCAACCUCAGUUUGAACACCUGGGCAUCUGCUUCUUGUGGACCUCACUGUUCAAAGACGCUUCAUCUGAAUAUAAGAGCACAAGAAAUGCAAGUGCUGUCAGUCUAUUAUAAUUGUAAGUAAAAUGGCAUGAUAUGCCCAUUUAAUAAUCACAAUUAUUGUAUAGCAGUAUUUGCUAAUAAAAAGCCCCAAAAUAGAGG